AGUGAACGCUGGCGGUAGGCCUAACACAUGCAAGUCGAACGGCAGCACAGUAAGAGCUUGCUCUUACGGGUGGCGAGUGGCGGACGGGUGAGGAAUACAUCGGAAUCUACUUUUUCGUGGGGGAUAACGUAGGGAAACUUACGCUAAUACCGCAUACGACCUACGGGUGAAAGCAGGGGAUCUUCGGACCUUGCGCGAUUGAAUGAGCCGAUGUCGGAUUAGCUAGUUGGCGGGGUAAAGGCCCACCAAGGCGACGAUCCGUAGCUGGUCUGAGAGGAUGAUCAGCCACACUGGAACUGAGACACGGUCCGGACUCCUACGGGAGGCAGCAGUGGGGAAUAUUGGACAAUGGGCGCAAGCCUGAUCCAGCCAUACCGCGUGGGUGAAGAAGGCCUUCGGGUUGUAAAGCCCUUUUGUUGGGAAAGAAAAGCAGCAGGUUAAUACCCCGCUGUUCUGACGGAACCCAAAGAAUAAGCACCGGCUAACUUCGUG
rnacentral:rRNA from 1 species